GCAUGCAUGGUCCCAAGGAAGACAGAAAAGGACUUUAGAUUCCAUGUGACUGGAGUUACAGACAGUUGUAAAUUGACAUGUUAGCAAAAUUAAAUUAACUUAAAAUAUGGGCCCUUUGGAAGAGCAGCAGGUGCUCUUCAUUACCGAGCAGUCUCUGUAUCCACUAACUUCUGUUUUAAAGGAUAAGUACUGAUUUGGAUUGGCUUAAGUAUGUCCUGUUUUAAGGUAAAAAUUUGAACAUACAGACCUAUUUAGGUUUAUUUCACAUCUAAAUUCUGCAUUAAAAAAUCUCUCACACUUUUUUAUUAAAAAUGUAGGGGUCUUGUUUGUUUUUUACUAAUAACUACAGUCAAACUCAGCAGUAAAUUACUGUUUGUAGGCAAUUUCGUCAUUUCAAUGUAAGUAUUGAUUUUAUCAGUUGAAAUCAUAUAGUGUCUUCAUGAAGAUGGCAGUCCUUUUUAAUAAUUUAGAAGAAAAAGUUGCCCUCACUUAUCUAACUUCAGAUUUAAUGUAUGUUAGCAGUUACUGUAUUCAUAUGUAAAAAAUGCUGACUGGGACCAAAGUGUCAUAAGCUAGACCCUAAAGAGCAGUUAUGCAGGGUGUUCACAAAACAACUCUAAGGAACAUUCACAAAAUGAACUUUGCAGCUUAACGAUAAAAGAAUUUAUUAUGAUUUCUUCAGCAUCGUGGAUUGUUUAAAAAAUAUUCUGUAGGGGAAAUGUGUCUGUUCACGAACAAAAAGAGUCUAGAAAUAAAUGCAUUCUGUGGGUUGAGUUGUGCCCUUCUAAAAUUCAUGUAGCAAAGCAUAACCUCCAAUGUGAUGAUAUUUGGAGAUGGGGUUCUUAUGAGAUCAUUAGACAUAGCUGUGGUUAUGAGGGUGGUGCAUCAUGAUGAGAGUCAUUAUCAUUUUUUAUUUACUUGAUUUUUGUUAAUCAUUUAAUUCGCUUACAUUUCAAAUGAUAUCCCCCUUCUCAGUUUCUUCUCCACAAAUUCCCCAUCCCAUCCCCUCUCUCACAGAGAUUCAUUAUCUUAAAAUAGAUACAUCGCAGGACACACUCACUCUUCAGUCAUGACCAUACAAAGAAGUGCAAACAUGAGUUGAAGAAAGCAGCCGUAUGAGGAAGAGAAAAGGUCUCAGAAUAACACACCUGCCUUGCUUGAACCUUAACCUUUGGCCCACAGCCCAUAGAAAUGACAGGACUAGAGACCUUUCUUUUCCUUUCUUUUCUUUUCUUUCACCUUUUUUUUAAUUUGGACUGAUAAUGUGAAAUAUUGGGAUGAUGCUGUGACAUUCACAUCAAAGCAAAGAGGAAGGUUUGCAAUUUGGUAGUGAAUACCAGGCUAGAUAGAGUAUCAGGCUAGAAGAAUUUUGAGAUAUACACUCAAGAUGUUAUAUAUGAGUUUAGGGAAGUCUCCUGUGGAAUUGACAUAUUUUUAGGAGGAAAAGCAACCUUGUUCCUGAAUAUUAAAGAGUUUGGGGUAUGGAGGGUGUUUUGUUAUUGGGGGAUCUUGGGAGGAUGCAACUGGAUAUCUCACAGAACAAAUCUGUAAGCAACAUGUUACAAGAGCAGUGUGCUUCUUUCUAGCUGAUUAUUGUGAAGUGUGAGGGGAUAGAGAAGAACUGAAGGGGGUAAGGAAAAGAAGACGGAAUAUGAAAAUUCACUUAAUUCUCAAGUUAUUCGUGUGGCUAAAGAGAAAACAAAAAUAGAGACAAAGAGUGGAAGAAGAAGAGGAGGAGGAAGAAAAAAUAUCAGAAAAUAGAGAGAGAGAGAGAAAAGGAAAGAAAUGAAAGAGAGGAGGGAAAUGAAAGAAAAGAAAGGUAAAUGGAUAAAUUUUUUGAUGAAAGUAAUGUUGUGUGGCUUUAAUGUUGCAUACAAAUUUUGCUCUAUGUGAAGAGAUAUUUUGACUCUUUAAACUCAAAAGGACUGAAGAGGACACAAUGAAUGAAGGAUGCCAGACACUUUGGAUUGACAGGCAAAGGUGCUGGGCUCCGCUGAGCCAUGACUUUUUAGGGGAAAGGAAAGUGCUCCCAACAGUUGUUCUAAGAUCUUAAGAGACUCCCUCUGUGUCACUGUCUGAAUCAUCUCCACCAGUUGUUGUUGGAACAAGACCUCCCCCACAGCGUGCAGCUGUGACACAGAUGGCCAGACUACAGAGGUAACAGGAUAGUGCUGUGUCUGCAUGGGGGCGGGGCUUGCAGAGAAUGCUUUCAAAGAACUGUGUCCCCAUUCUGUUUCUUCCCAUGAGAUGCUAUUCGGAGAAUAGUCUUUGGGGAUAUUUUAGGUUUGGAUAAGAUCAGGAGGGAGGUGCUCUCAUGUUUACAAGGAGAAAUACAAGUGAAUACUCCCUCCUCCUCCUCCUCCUCCUCCUCCUCCUCCUCCUCCUCCUCCUCCCUGUCCUCUUCCUUUUAUUUAUAUAUAUACACACACCAUUGCUUCAUCUUCUUCCUAGAACCUCCUCCUUCUCUCCUUCUGGCUCCACAGUACAACAGUCAUCUACAAUCUAGGAAUGUAGCUCUCACCAGAACCUUACCUUGCUAACACUCUCUGACUUUGAAUAUCUAACCUCCAGCAUUUGGGAAUUGUUAAUUCUGUUGCUUAAGUCACCUAGAAGACUUUGUUUUAAUAGUUUUCUGUAAUGCAUCUGCCUUUGUCUAGUCACACAUAGGCCACAGGAUUUUGCAGUUGGCAAACCUUAGGAGACAGAUUGGUCAAGUGUUUGCUCAUAGAAACACUGGCGAUAUUUUUAUAGACUCAAUCAAGAAAAUUUAAAGACCAAGUGAUUAUUAAAAGUAUAUAUACUUAUUGAACCACUUUUAUAUAUUACUAUAAGUAAAAAAUUAAUUUUUACUAAUAAUUAUGGGGUUAAAUAAACUCAUUGGAUGGAAAUAAAAAUCUCAGUCAAGUAUAAUUUGAAUGCUUUAAUAAAAAAUUAAUGCUUGGGAGUUGUUUUUUUCUCAUUUACAGACAGGCAGUGCAUGCCUUAUUUAAAUAUUAAUUUUAUCCUUAAUUCUAGUAUUUCGUUUCAAACACAAACUACAGUUUCAUACCAACUGGUUAGAGGGUUUGCUUUCUCUUUAGAUUGAUAUUUGACAAUAAUGAUUAUUUUGUGGGACACUCUGCGCACUCUACCUGAUAUUACAUUAAAAGAAAGAUGAAUGUGGAAUAAUUAAACAAAAAAGGCUAAGUUACAUUUGAUCUCACAGAGCAGUGGUUAAAAAAAUCAAGCAAGAGGCAAGUUGAAAUGUAUGGUCACUGAGGCUCUAAACCAAAUAGGAUCAACUUCAGCCUGAACGUAAUGACUGUGGAGAACAUUUCUAAUGGGCUUUUCCAAAAAAGCAAUAUUCAAAUUAAACAGGGAAACUUGUAAAAAUGAUCAAUUAAUUUCCUGAGUUAUGCCUAUUUUGAUAUCCUUCAACUACUAACACUUUAUUUGUUCUUCAAAAAUACAACACACAGCCUUCUAUCUUAUCAUUUGCUACUUUAUUUUGUUAGACAUUUUUAUUUUUCCUGUAGCCAAUUAAAUUGUUUGGGUGUGAAACACUGCCUCCUCCCUCCCUCCAACACAGGCUGAUUAUCCUAAUACUCUUAGUACUAGAUCAAAUAGACUGAGUUUUGGCAUUUCCUGCUUUGCCAUACCAUCCAUAAUCCAUCUUUUGUUUUCAUUAAUACAAUACAAAAUACAUGUCUAGCAAUGCCCUUUGCAUUGUUUAAAUUUGCUGUUAAUGUACUCUCUUGAUUAGACUGGGAGAUCACUGUAGGUAGAGAUUCAUCAAAGUCCUGCUUGCACAUAAAUGGCUACUUUAGCACUCUUUAAUAUGUGUGAAUGAAAAUCACUAGUUCGUCAUAUCUGCAACUGCAUCAUGUCUGCUUGAGUUGGUACAGGAGGCAGAAGGAGGGAAAAAAUAGCAAGCUGCAAAAUCUGAGGAAACUUGCUGUUGGGUUAACUUAUUUCCAGGAAAAAAUCCUGGAGAUACCCCUGAACUUUGUGGGGUGAGGACAUUCACCAGUUUAUUAGUAGAGCUGAGCUAUACUAGAAUAAUAAACUGAGAAAAUUAUCGAAUUAGGAUAUUUAUAGAGCAUGUAGACACCAAGCAGAUUUGGGUCAACAAAUAUGGAUCAGGAAAACUGGGAGCCAAGAAAUAGAUGGAGAGGGGCCAUCCGUAGAGUAAAGAAACCCUCACACUCAAGCACUUUCUACCUGCUGGGCCCACAGACAUCUGUAUGUAGCAUACCUCAUAACACAUGACUUGUAUGAAGUGCCUGUAAUUGUUCCUAUUUUAUAAACUAGGAACCAAGACAGAGAUCUUUCCAUAGUUUACUCCAGGCCAUGUGAUUUCUGAAGACAGUAGGAUUCAGGUUCAGAUAGUACAGCUGUAACUUCAUAUUUAGUGUCAACCCAGUAAAGAGACUGGAGUAUCAGUCUCUGCCAUCGGUGUUCUGUGUGACUUUGGUUAUGCAAAUCAGCUCUUCUGUGCCAUUGAAUUCCUCGUUUUUGUGCUGAGAACAUCAUUGACCCUGAUUUCAGAAUUUUGUUUGAUGUAGAGUAACAGGCAAAAUCAUUAUCUUCAUUAAACCAUGGAGAGAAAGAUUUCUUGGGUAAGCAUGGAGAAAUAAAACAAGAGCUGUGGAGAUGCUUCUGCGUUUAAAGAACUUGUUACUUGUGCAUCGGUGUAGAACUCACACAAAGACUGGGAGCAGGCAGGAACUGUAAAUAUCCAGAGCUGGUUGGCUAGCAAGCCUAGCCACAUCAGCUAGUUUGGCUUUUGGCUGAGUGACAUUGCCUAGUUAAAUAUGGCAGAAAGCAGAGAUCAAGAAUGACUACCGACUUCAACUUACACAUGGGUGUGCACCUACAUGAUGUAUACCUGCACACACAUAAAUGCACAACCACACAUGCAAGCAUGCAUACACAUACACACAUGCUAUAUGCACACAAGAAAUGGGAAAAGAACAGUAAAUAGAAAAUAGGAGGGUUUGUAAUCUUUUUAAGGAGCUGGGAAGAUUUACAGCCUAAUGUGAAUAUUCCCAAAGAGAAAAGGUGAAGCUUUUUAGACCCGGGGUUUUGGCCAAAACCAGACACCUUUUCCAAGGAAGAGGGAGCAACAUUCUACCAUUUUUCCAAAAGCUAUUGUUAAAUCAUGCUAAGACAAAAUGUCAAGGCUGGUAGGCCAUCCAAGUGUUGGGAGGUAAACCUUGGAUUAGCUUCCUAAGAAAAUGAUAGAAGGGUUUUAUCCUAGGAUGUCAGAGGUGGGAUUUGAACCUGCAGACAGAUUCCACAAGCUUGUAAAAUAUUGCCUUUCCCCAUCUCAUCAUUAGGAUAUCUACUGGCUCCAAAUAUUCUAUCUAUGUACAGUUCUACAGGGAGUUACCCUGUCUGUGCCAUUUUCUCCACCCUUAGGGAGCCUGGACUGGAGCAGAGCUGAAGGGAUUUUUCUCAAAGGAUUUUCUAAAUGUUGAACCUACUCAGUUCUGCACGGGAUCCAGCUCUUAUGGUUUGGUUUUGUUGCCGUUAUUAUUGUUUUUAGGGCAGUACCUGGUCUAUCCCAGGCUGCCCUUGAACUCAGUAUGAAGCUGAAGUUGAGCUCUGUCAGCUCUUCCUAUCUCCAUCACUUAGUGCUGAGAUUACAGAUGUGUUCUGCCAAGGCUGGUACUGUGUGCAGGAUGGAAAGCUAAGCCAUAGCCACAAGCAUGCACUGGACCAACUGAACUACAGCCUCAGCCUCAGAUUUCUCUACUCCACUUAUGAAGAAGUGAGGCUUUGCUCAUUCACAUGCAUGGUUCUCAGAGACAACAAGUGUGAAGAAUGUAUUUCUGACACUUUAAAUAAAGGAGAAGGGAUGGCGAAGGGAGAAUUUACAAAAAUACAUUUCUUUUUAAAAAAUUAAAACUAAGCCGGGCGUGGUGGCACACGCCUUUGACCCCAGCACUUGGGAGGCAGAGGCAGGAGGAUUUCUGAGUUCGAGGCCAGCCUGUUCUACAGAGUGAGUUCCAGGACAGCCAGGGCUAUACAGAGAAACCCUGUCUCAAAAAACAAAAAACAAAAGACAAAACAAAACAAAAAAACAACAAAACAAAAACCCAACCAACCAACCAAAAAAAAAAAAAUGAUUAAGCUUUAUAACUAGUUAAUGGACGAAUCUGCAAAGAUGGUUUUCAAAAGUCAAUUGCUUUCUAAAACAAGGAUUAGACUAUACAAAUUGGUUGUUUGGUUAGAAUUAAACUAUAUAAAAUUUUAUAAGCGUGUGUUGUACGUGCCUAUAAAGACAAUGACAUAUUGAAAGAAACCUUAAACUUGGGAGAGUUUCUUGGGCAAGGGCUAUGGGGAGCCACACAAGACAUAUGAAAGAUCAAUAACCUCUAACAUUUAAAAUAGCCUGACUUGGAAUUAGCUCAGUCCUAAUUAAAAUUGCAAUUAUAAACAAUCAAAAUGUGAUUGAAUAUUAAUGUUUAAAUGAAUAGAUGAGAAAAGGACUAGGCAUAUAUCUUGAAAUGUUUUCUUUCUGGUCCUAUGGCAUGUUCUUUUAAAAAUAUUCUGCUCUAAUUAUGUAUAGGUUCAAAAAGUAAAAUGUUGUGUAAAAACAGCGACUUCUUUGCCUGCACCUAUUUCCCAUUAGCAGUAGAUCUAUUAAGUAUCAACUUCUCUCGCAUGGGGAAUGGUUAAAUGAUUCGUUUGGGUGGAUUUGAUUGUUGAGAUAAAUAUAGUACAUGAAAAUUAAUCUUAAACUAAUCUUCAAAAUUCAAGUUUCCACAGCCUACACUAUACUCUCCAGCUCAAAAGUUAACUUUGGGCGUACUUCAGAUUGUCUGGGGAACGUUUAAAAAUACCGUUUACUGAAUCCCACCCAAGGCAAUUAAAUUGGAAUCUCUGUAGGUGGAGGCUGAGUAUUUCUCAGAAUCUCCCCAGUGAUUCGAGGGAACACAGACUGCAAACGUCUAAGUUGAGGGAUGACAGUAUCAGGGGUGAUGGAAUGGCCACCAAAGCCUCCUCAUUCAUUGUUCCUCGGCGUUAUGAAAGAUUAUAGGGGGUACCAGUAAAUAGAACAAAGGACUCACUCUCUAGGUGCUGAGUCCAUGGUAUGAGGUGAAAGGACCGGUAAAACAUAGCCUAUAGAGUAUGUGUGUGUAUGGGGGGGAGGGUAGAAGAUGACUCAACAGGUAAAGCACUUGCCACCUAGCAAACCCCACGUGGUGGGGAAACAGAACUGGCACACAAAGUUGACUUCAUCUCAUCACGUAUACACUGUGACACACCACACAAAGCACACAACAAUAAGCAAGAAAACAAUCAGACAAGCAAAACAAAUACAUGUUAAAAAUAAAUAAAAUGUGGAAGCUGAAGAAAGGCAGACAAGCACAGGUGGCUGAAUGCUUGAGAUGUUAAAAGCUACUGAGAGUUCUUAAAAAACGUUCUUACUACCAUGGGGGGUUUGGGAACAGAAAUAGAGUUCACAAAAUGAAAGUAAAUGGGCUUAGAGAAAAAGUUCACACUUUAUGUGAAAUGAAAGAUUAAUGUCACAAAUGAGAAUACAGAGGAGGGAGCAGACGUCAAAAUAGAGCAGAAGCAAAACUCAGAAAAUGCAAACCUUAUGAUGACACAUCCCGGACUACCGACUGCACGCAUUAGUGCAUUUUUAACAACUGAAGUGAAAUCUUAAGGACUAAUAGUACAGCAAUGUUUUGCUUCUGUGAGUGAUGUUGACUAACAUACAUUUCAGAGCAUGUUGCCAGCUGUGAAGGCGAGGGUCCUUCUGCUCGUAGCUUCAUCAUGGCAAAUGACAAUGAGGCGUUUGCUUGUGGAAGGAAAAAUUCACCCGAAUUCAGGGGGAGCCAGAAACGCUGGAUAGGACCAACUUGAAACCUUUAAAAACACCUACUUUUAAAAACUCAUCAGAAUAUCAGUAGGUAUGUUUCCUUCCCUUCUGAGGGAAUGUCUGGGUUUACCUAAGAACCUGCCACUUAAUCCCUCCCCUGUUGUAGGUUCCUCCACUCUUACAGGUCCACACUAUUUCCUAAAACCUUCAACCCUGAGAGGAAGCUUCCAACAGAUGAACCUUUGGGGGAAAUGUAGUUAAAUCAAACCAAGACAGGAUCCUGUUUCACAAAUGAAAGGAAGGACCGGGAAAGCUUGUGACGAGAAGCAUGGGUAUGUGUGGAGUUUGAAGUGCAGGGGUCUAGGCAGCAAGGCGCUGGGAGCAGCGUGGUGUGACGGCCAUGCUUUUGGAAAUGCCUGACAAAGAGAAGAGCUGAGCUUUGCCAGAAAGGCGUUUCCUCUGUGGAAUAAGGAAAGGGGGCAAACCAAUCCUCAGGAAAGGUGUGUGGUCCCGAACAAAACAGAAAGGUGGAGUUAGAAAGACAUAAUAAGGACGAUCGAGCUUAAGAUGGAGUUGAUUGAUAAUGCCUAGGCUCAAAGACCCGGAGUUUGAUGUCUAAAGAACUUUCAAAAAAAAACAUUGAGAGUCAGGAAGCUAGAUUGAACGUGCAGGAAAGGUGAGCAUAGGCAGAGGAGAUGACUAAUAUUUAAAGAAACACAAACAUUAAACAUAAUGAACAGUGCUGGGCACACAAGACGGCUCAUUGGAUAAAGUUGCUUGCGGUCAAGAUCAAAGGGCCUGAGUUAGAUCCCUGUAACCCACAUGGGGAAAAGGAAGAACUCUUAAAAGUUAUCUUCUAACCUCUGGAGGGGAUCCUACGUAUAUAAAUAAACAAAUGUAAAAGAAGAAAAGUCAAGGAUGACUAGAAAUGACGAUAAAUCAAUUGAGCCAGUGUGUCUUUUCUUAUGGGGUAAAUGAAUGGACUGCCUCUUCCCAUGUACAGGAGAUUCUGGGGAGGACUGGGUUUUUGUUUGGUUUGGGAUGCACUAGAUUAAAUAAUAUCUUUUUUUGUUUAUUUUUAUUUUAGAUAAAAGGAGAAUUUAGCUGGGUACUGAAAAAUGACCUUCCCUGCCUUUUCUUUAUGAACCCUUAAGUGGCCCCAACUCAUAGGGCUUUCCUCAGCAUAAAACUGCAAUCGGGGCAUGGUUUGAUAGGCCAUUCACAGUUAAAGAAAACAAGACUAACGACUUAUGUGACCAUUGUAGAGAAGUCAUCAAACGAGAAGCAAAAUUACUUACUUACAGGCAUGUCAGGAGGAAACAUCCACAAAAAUAUUACAAAUGUAAAAGCAGGUAUAAAGUGCUGAAACAUCAACCACAGGUCCAAUACAGGUACAAAUUCAAUUAGUAGAACUAUCGUCUUGAUAACUGAAGCACCAGACUAUGAUACAAAGGACAGCUAACUAGAGAACACAUUGAAAGGAAAAUAACAAACUUUAAAGCCCAGGGAAGUAAGCUGCAAUAAGUCACACGUGUGUUGUGUGUUUUUUUCUAAGUGUUUUAAGAACACCUUCUCAUCCAACCUGGACUCAGAAAAACUUCAGAGGAAACCAUAAGCCACUUCUGUGCAUUUUAAUUAGUUCCACAUAACCCUGUCUUGCUUGGUAACUUUAAUAUGUGUUAUUGCCCCUCCCCCACUUUCAGCAACUGAGGAUUUUUUUUUUUGUUGUUUUGUUUUGAUUUUGGUUUUUGUAUGUGUGGCGCGGGGGGGGGGAGUUUCUUUGCUUGUUUUUCAAGUGAAUUUGACACAUAGCUUGUAUUCCAAUUUUAUGGAGACAACUAAGAACUUCGGUAUCUCUCAUUUUCAGUUUCACUUUGUGUUCAGGAAGAUCGCUGUGUGGAGUUGCUGUUCUGACUUCACUACUAUCCUGAAGCACAGAACGGGGAUCAUUUACACCCUAUGUGUUUGAGGCUCCACACUGCUCUUGCUUAGCAUGCCACACAGUGACCUCGUUAGACUUGCAUGCUUCAUCAGCUUCUAGAAUAAUUAGAUCAUUGAUUUCAAUCUUAUCUGGAAAACAACUUCACACAUUUGGAAAAAUUUUACCACCACUUUGCACUUUCAUUCUGUGUCACAGUUGAAUGCUAAAAACGAACUUAUAUCGGAAUCACUAUGUUUCAUUAUUAAAAAUUGUGUAGCUGAGAAUUCAUAAAGUAAUGGAUGAUGUUGCUACCAACUAGAUUUUUAUGUAAGGUACUGUACAUACAGUAGUCCAAAUUUUCUUAACGCUCUGUGAGAAUUCUGUAAUUUAAUUAGUGUCUCUGUAUCGCAGAUUAAUAAAACUGUUGCGAUUAUAAAGUUGUUUAUUAAAGAAGCAAUUCUCUUGCCAUUUAGUUUGUUUGUUCUCUGCACUAAAGUGAGAUGCCAGAUGGUCACAGGAAAGCAUGGUAAUAUUGUUUAAAUAGUGAUUUUAUUCCUGGAAAUGUGUCUGAGGUUUAAGAAAUUUUAAUUACCAUGUUGUAUGGCAUUGAAUUUGGAAGGAAUACAUUUUUGAGCACUUUACUUCUUCUGUAAUGUGCCUUUGGUGAACCUGAAAGAAAGUGAUAUAUUGUAAAAGCAGUCCUAUUUUAUGCUCUGCAUUUAUGCAGAUUGUGGGUGCCUGUGUGCAUGUCUGGCAUGUGUGUACGUGUGAAGGUAUAUGUAUACAGGCCUGUGAAUACCAUAGAAUGCAUGUGGAAGUUAAAGGAAGACAGCAGGAAUUGGUUAUCUUCUUUGAUGAAUAGGUUCCAGGAGUCAAACUCAGGCCUUUAUCCCGAGUGACAUAAACCUGCCGUUAGCUGAUGAACCAGCCUGCUGGUCCUGCAAUUCUAUUUCAAGAUGUCCACAUUUUUAUAAUCUAAUAUUACCCAAUAGGUGCUGAAAACUACAAAAAUCUAUAGUUUCCAGUUUUAGUUUCAGACUUUUAAACUUUAUUGAUUUGUUUUCUGGCUGCCUUUAAUUUCUCCUAUUUCUAUAGGUAUGUAUCAAUGCACACAAAUACACAAAUGGCUUGAACCUACCUAUGAUUUUCAUUGGAGGAUUUCUUCUGUCAGAAGUAGGGUAGUUCCUCCUCCCCCUUUCCCAGUAUCAUCUCUUGUUCUAAACGCUGCAUAGAUUCCACCUGCAAUGUGCAGCUUCUCUCAACAGCACAUCACGAAACCCUCUCUAUUCCUUUUGGAUAUCAUUAGCCUUUAGCAUUUCAUUAAUUUAUUGACUAUGGACUUCCUCUUGGUAGUUCUUAAAGUAUCCUUUGGCUUAAAUAUUUUUAUUUAACAUUCACAGUUAACUUAGCUGCAAGCCUCAAAGAUUAUUUCCUGGGGCAAUCUUUGUAAAUUUAGUGUCUAAUUGCUGUUUUCAAAAAAAAAGUAGCAAAUACAAUAGAAAAAACCAAUAUGAUGUAUACUGUCAAAUCACAAGAAGAAUCCAUAACAGUAUGGAUGAUAUUUAAAUACAUAUAACUAUUAUGAGAAUGUUGCUUAUACAAUUGAUUUUUCAUGUGUUAGGGAGACUAACGAGGAUAGAUAGAUAGGUACAUAGAUAGAUAGAUAGAUAGAUAGAUAGAUAGAUAGAUAGAUGAUAGAUAACUAUCUUAAUCUUAAUGAUAGUGUAUUUAUGUAUGCCUCUGUGUGUGUGUGUGUGUGUGUGUUACUAUGUGUGAAUGCCAUGAGAAAAGUGUAGAGAUCAAAGGACAAUGGCGGAUAUUGAUCCACUGCCUCCACCUUGAGACAGGGCCUCUUUGUUGUCUUUUCUGUGACUAUGCCAGGCUAGCUGAAACACCAACUUCCAAGGAAUCUGUUGUCUAUCAGUACUAUCACACAGUGUUAUUAUAGACCCACAAUAUUGUGUCUGUCUUCUCAAGGCAUCUGAAAAUCCAAACCUAGGCCCUCAAGUUUGCACAGCAAAUACUUUAUCCAGUAAGUUAUCUAGGAAAUCCCCAAGAGUGGUUUGUAAAAAAAAUAUAUGAUAUCUUAAUUUAGAAUAGCCUGCUAAUAGUUUACAAAAUGCGUUGUACUUUGAUUCUUAUUACUGAUUAUAUGAGCUGUCCAGUUGCUGCCAAUACAGUGUCUGCUUUCUGAAGAGGAACCCCAGUGUGCAGAGAAUUGUAAUUCGGUCAUAGAGAUUUGAUCCUUAUAUGUCUUUACUUGAUUUUUAUAAUUUGGUGAUAGAGACCUGAUCUUUAUGAUCUUUAUAUACUAAUCAGCUAGAAGGCCCAGAGAAAACAGUCUGGGUCUUUUAAUGGCAGGAAAUUCUGGUUUCUUACCUACCACUAAUAUGUGUGCAAUCAUCACCCCUUUUUUGAAAAAUUAAUAGAAAUAACUGAGUUAUUAUAAAAAUAUAAGGAACAAAUUUGGCAAACAAAAGUACCAAAUCAUGAUUGUUAGAGUCAGUAACUAUCAAAUGUACUCAGCAAAGAGCUGGAAGGUUUCCUCAAUUCUAAUCUUCAGUGUGUUUGCUGUUCUGGGUGGGUACUGAGCAACACCUGGCCACUUCCAACUCUGAGUAUAGUUCAAAUCCACUAUGACAUAUCUUAUCUAAGAGGUUCACCUCAUUGGGAAUUCAUACCACCCAAGUUGUCAUGUUUAUGUACAUACCGUCUCUGGCCCUCUCCCCAGAGGCUACAGUGUGGAUAGUCACCUAUGAACACUGCAACCAUGCUUUAAAACUUGAACUGGGCAUGUCACUUGUUGUUACUGCUGUUGUUGCUUUGUAUCUGGGUUUAGAUUUCAUAUAUGAAGAAAUCAGAGUCAUCGGAAUGUCAGAGAAUCCUGUGAAAGCUGAAUCAGGGCAGAAGGAGGAAUAUGUGCAGCAGAGCUGAGUCAUAUUAAUAAGGGAUCAGCAAAGAUUAAAGAGCUGCUGAUGCUGCAGAGGUGCAUGCAGCCGCCAUCGCUCUAUAAUUACCUUGAUUCCAAUACCCCUUAGCCCCAGGCGUGAAACAGCAUUUUCUUUCACUGUUGUAAGAUAUAGAUCCCAUACUUCUUUCAGUGUACAUAUAUAUUCUGGCUGGCAUAAAUGGGCCUCUAAAUUAUUAAGAAACUUAGCUUAACCAAGUCUUAGUCCCAGGCUUUUUACAUUUUAUCAAAUAAGCUUAUUCUAGAACUAGCAGAUGCCACCAGGAAAGAAAAAUUGCACAUUUCGACAGUGGCAUUUUAAACCGAACUGGUCUGAGCUAGUGGAACAAUCUCUAUGCUUCUGAGGACCUUUCUCUUAUCUACAUAUCUAGUUUUCUGUUUCUUUGUUCUAACGUCUUCCCCUCAAAGAUUGAUGACAGCAUUUUCUAUAAUUCAUUAUAGUCUGCUUUUGCUCAAGGAGACAAUCCCUUGAAAUCUACACCAAAUUGCCCCAAUAAUGGAUGUGUUCUCAUAGUUCACCUUCCCUCUGUAUGUUCACUGAUUUCUGAAACUCUUUAGAACCGAACCUCGAUCUUUAAUGGACCAGACAGGUGCUUUUAGCUGUGCUAACCAGGACGCAUAUCGUGUAACAACAGCUUCUGGAAUCACCCCAGACACCAAAGGUGCAAAUGGGAGAUUGUGUGCAUUAUGAAUCACAACACAUAAUUAUUGCCCUGAUGGUUCUUUUCCUUGUGAAGUGUUAAGUGAUCCUUUUGUUUUUAACUCUUUAGCUACAGUAAAGCAGCACUUUUUUUCUGGGCAAAAAGUAUCGUUCAGCAUAAAAGUCAAAGCAUAGUUUCUUUAAACAUUUUUUUCUCCAAUAAAUUCUGACUUUUAAAUGACUAAAUUAAAUGGUUCCUGUCACAUGUUAACAAUAUGGGGUCUGAGAUUGAAAGGAGCUCUGUGUAAUCUUAUUGAGCCAGUAGGUCACUGGGAAAAGAGAAAAUGUGUUUGAAUCGCAGGCAAGAGCGGAUGUUGGAUGGAUUUGUGAAAUACUUUCUGUUGUCGUAUCAGCUGACUGAUGGUUGUGAUUCUCAGAAGGACUCCAAUAUUAUGCCUUCUAAAACCUGGAGAUUAAUGCAACCAUGGUGAACCACACAGCGACACUCUGGCAAAGAGAAAGGGUCAGUGCUGGCAAGACGUGGCAGGUGUCAAAAUAAAAGGUUAGGCUCUGUGCCUGGGGACCCAUCUGUCAGAUCAAACUAUGAUAAGGCAAUUAAUGUAUUUGUUUAUGUUGCUCACGACACACCAUGCAUUCCAUAAAAAUGAUCAGUUUAAACACUCUCGACUGCUUUCAGGAAAUUGGGCUAUAUGUAAAAAGAAAAUGAUCAGAAUAAAAAUAAAUGUUUAUUAGUUAAAUGGCUAGUUCAUACAGCCAAAUUAAGUUAGCUGGGAAAUUAGUCAUCUGUACUCAAGAACCUAAGUCAUUAAAUAUAACAUUUUCAUAAGAUAUUGGGGACAAUUAAAGUGGAUGUUUAUGCUACAAGAUAAUUGUUGUAACACCUCAAAAUCCUACCAUGCUUUACAUUCAUGAUACUAGAUUUUUAAGUAUGCAAUAAAAUACAUCCUACAGAAUGUAUGAUAAAAUGAGAAUUUUCAACCACAGCACUUUCUGCAUCCUGCAUGUUCUGCAUCCUGCAUCUUCUUCAAAUGUUUUGUUCACAACACUGUCAUUAUUAGGGCUUUCAUUUUCACUCUGAGUAAUACUGACUCCUCUCAUAUUUAUUAUUUAUUUAGCUUUCUCACGACAUCUGCUUUACAAUCUGUUUAAACAAGAACAUGUUUAGAUUUAAUCUUCAUCAGUGAUGUAUUUCUUGCAGAUAAAACAAAUCAUUCUAUAUUUUUAAAAUGUCCCGUUACUUUACUGGUUAAAUAAAUAAAUAAAUAAAUCCAUAAUUCCCUGGAAUUAUGAAAAAAAUUAGACAUUUUUUCAGCUCAAAAGUUUAGAUAAAAAUCGAUUUGUUACUUUCAACUGGGGGAAGGUUAAAAAAUGCUCUCAGUUGCUGUUUCAAUCUGUUGUAUUUACAGUAAUAUUACAUUUUUGAAGAGAAGAAGCUGGCUUGCCAGCAGAGUAGUGUGCUACGCAGAAGGGUCAAAUCCUUUAAUUUCCCAGGCAAAGCCAGAUAUGACCAUCUCAUUGUCAAGCUGCACUUCUGACAGAGUGAUGCUAGCGUUCACUCCAGCAACAGAGGGAAGCCUUUGAAAACCAGAGCUCCUGUGCUCAAUAGAUUUACUUUCUUUUUUUGAGGCAAGAUUCACCCCCUUAUCCCUUCUUCCCAAGUAUUAGAGAGGUUAAGAGACGAAUAGAAGGGGGAAUGAGGGGAAGAACCCUGGGAGGGGGGACUAGAAGGGGGGACAUUUGUAAUGCAAAUAAAUAAAAUAAUUAAUUUUUAGAAAGGAUUUUGUCGAACUUUAAGUCAAUGAUUUUUCUCACCAGGACCUCUUUCUCAGCUCGAAGCACAUCAUAAACUUACUGUUUGCUUCCAUUGUUCCAGGGGAUGUAGAGACGCUGGACAUAGACUUUGUUAUAUGCUUCUUUCUGUAGCCUAAUGCAUGGCUUACAAAUUAUGCUUGCCGUCCAACUACAAUGGACUGCUACUUAAAAUUGAAUUCUCUCCCGCCUUCAUUUGCUGACUCCGAGGUUUAUACUGUUACUUUAAUUUUAUUUGAAUUUCAGUCUUCUGAGCUAGCUCUGUUUUCUACCUCUUUAUUUGCCUGGAUAUAGUCGAAAAUAUAAUAGGGCAAAAUAAAGUUCUUGGCCACCAUUCUGUAUGACUCUUCCAAAUUCUGGGAUACACUAUGUAACAUUACCAAGCUAUAGCCAACUAAGCUAACUGGCUACUUCCUCUCUACCAUAGAAUAAAAGUAAUAAUCUCAACUGGAAGUCAGGAUCUCACCCAUUUUUCACAGAUCCAUUAAAAGAUUCAUCAAACAAAAGAAGUGUGAGCGAGUAAUUUUGCUGGAUGUCCACGUAUUUCAGUUGAGCCAUUUGAAGACAUUAGGAGUGGGGUUAUUGAAGCCCUCCCUUGCUCUAGGACAAUGCAAGCCUGCCUCUGUGUUCACCACAGGUAUGUGUUCAUGAGUUCUUCCUUAAUAGAUUGCCCAGAUAUCACAGAAUUGCGACACUUUGUUUAGUAUAUGGUCAUGGUGAAUAGUACCUAUCUGUAUUUUUAUUAUUUUAACAAAAAUUAAAAUUCUCAGCCUAUCCUAUGUUAUGUAAAGCAAGUAUCCACACCCAAUUGUCUCUUCUUCUAUGAAAAAAACAAAACAAAACAAAAAAACCCCAAAAAAACCAAAAACUUGUCACUUCUUUCAGAAAAUCUACUUCCAGUUGAUUAAAGUUUGCUCCACCUCCAUCAAAUAUACUUUUUUCCAGAUUAUUAAGUUUUUAAAACAUUUAUUUUUUUACAUCCUAAUUCUGUCCCCCCUCUCAGUCUUCCUCUUACAGAGUCCUUCUCCCACUCUUCUCUCUUUCUUCUCUGAGAUGGUGGGGGCCCCUGGGUAUCACCUCACCCUGGUGCAUCAAGUCUCUGCAGGGUUAGGGACAUAUUCUUCCUCUGCAGUUACAAAAGGCCCCUAGGGGGUCUUGGUCCAGCCCUUGUAUGCUUUUUGUGGUGGCUCAGACUCUGAGAGCUGCCAAGGGUCCAUUUGUUGACUCUGUUGGUCUUCUUGAAGUUCCUCUCCCCUUAAGGGUCCUCAAUCCUUCCCCCAACUCUUCCAUAGGAGUCCCCAACCUCCCUUCAAUGUUUGGCUAUGGCUCUCUGCAUCUGUUUCAGUCAGUUGCUGGGUAGAGCCUCUUAGAAGACUGUAAUGCUAAGGUCCUACCUGUAAGCAUAAUGAGUGUCAAGGAUUGGUGCUUCCCUAUGAGAUGGAUCUAAAGUUAGGUCUGCUGGAUAUUGGUUGACCAUUCCUUCAUUAUCUACUCCAUCUUUGUCCCUGCAUUUCAUUUAGACAGAAGACAUUUGGGGUAGAAAGUUGUGUCUGUGGGUGGGUUGGUAUCCUUAUCCUUUCACUGGGGUUUCUGGCUGGCUAUAGAAGGUGGUCUCUUCUGGUUUCAUGUCCCCAGUCUUAGGCAUCUUGGGUAAGAGCACCAGCAUUGACUCCUGGGAGCCUCCCGCAUCCUAGAUCUCUGGGUCUUGUAGAGAUCGCUCUCACACCCACCUCUGACAACUAUAGAUUUCCAUUCAUUGUCCUGUCGUCCUGGCCCUCUGUCCUGUCUCUCCCAACAGCUGAUCCUGACCUCUCCCCAUUCCCCUGCCCAUCUCUUCUCCCAUCCAGUUCCCUUCCUCUCUAUUUUCAUUAUCUGCAAAUGCAACUGGAUCAUUUCUGUCUUAGGCAUCAAUUUUCUGGCCAUACCUUUGUAUUUACUUCUCCUAUAGUCUAUGGCUUUAGGGACUUUUUUUUUAAUUCAUCAAGCAUUUGUCCAAUAUUUGGCAUGUAAGACUUUAUCUCCAUCUCCAGCUGUUGAAACUCUGCUAUCCUUGCGGUGGUGAAUCAUUCCUAAAAUGUGAACCUGUCUUAUUUUAGUAACAGGGAUUCUAUUUAGUGCUCAAUGCUGAUGAACCAGAAUGGAGGUCUGAGAGUUUGUGUGACAGGUAAGAGAAAAAAAAAAAAGGAAAAAAAAAAAGUGAGUGCAUGGAGGCUGUGAGAAAUGUGGAAGCAAACAGAUUUGUUGGAAAACAAGCUUUAACAUUUGAAGAGGAAGUACCACAUCAAAAACAGGGUAAGAUGUCACACUAAGUGGUUCUGUGUCUUGUCCUAUUGCUGUUGUAAACUAUCUCACCCAAAGCUUCUUUAGGCAAUAAAUGCCUUCUGACAGCUCACAGUCCAAGCCCAGCCCAGCAUGAUAGAGGAGUGAGGCAGCAGGAACCUGAAGGAGCUGAGUGUGUCACAUUUACAUUCAGAAGAGAACAAUGAGUGUGUGUACACUAGUGCCAAGCUCACUUUCUCUAAGACCCCCUGCCUAGGACUGGGGCCACCCACGGACAGUGGGGAUUUACAUGUUAGUUAACUUAAUCAAGGUAAUCCCCCAAGGGUACACCCACAGGCUAAUCUCCCAGGUGAUUCACGAUUUUUUAAAUCAGGUUGAUAUGAACCAUUACACUAAGCAAACUUGCAAAUGCCCUGCAAUAACGGUAGAAAGGAGAGGAAGGGAGUCAGGAGAAAGAGCGUGUAAAUUGGUUUCUGAGACUUUAUCAUAAUCUGAUUAAUUCUGAAAUAAUGUUCCUGCUAUGGAAUUGAUUUUCAAGGUAGAAUGGAGAGGCACCUCAUCUCUGAAGACGUGAUUCAAGUUGUUACACUUGCAUAGUGGGAAUGGUACAGGCUAUGCAGGAGACAUGAUUAUAGAGUGGCUUGGAAGAUGAUCUUUUUUAGACAAUCCAGAGCCUGAACCCCUGCUCCCUCCUCUCUGCUGUGUAUGUCAUCUUGGCAGGAGUCUUGGAGCUCCUUCCUACGACUUAACAAGAACUGACUGUGUGCAUCAUCACCCUAACCUCACGCCCCAUGGCAACCCAGCAGUGGACCACACAGAGCAGAGGUGAUUUAGAGCAUCGCGACUGACAAUUCCAAAUUAGGCAAAUCAGAGCUUCAUUUCUCCUGUGUUACUUCAGCAUCCAACGGCUGGAGGUUGCCAACAUUUCCUACCUUUUUCAGUCUUCCUCCUUUAUUGGAAAAGAAACAGAAUGACAGUUCUCUCUGCAUAAAAUUGUGCAGGCCUUUCAAUAGAUAGUAUAUUUCAUGUUUCCUGUAUGUCGCAAACAUCAAUCUCAUAACUCUUAUAAUUUAAUUCAGCGUGUUCUACAGAACUGUGAACACUUUUGCAAUUCUAAUGCACUAGAAAGCAUUUCAAUUAGUUCAUCACAAUUCCAGGGGAAGGGGAUUCUGUAAAAAUAAUUUUACAGAUGAUUUUACAGUUCAUCAUUGAAAGAAUCCAGUACAGAAACUCAAGCAGGAACCUGGAAGCAAAACCGGAAGCAGAGACUGUGGAGAAAUGCCCCAAUGCCAUGCUCCAUGACACCCCAGCAGUGAACCACACACAGCCAAGAUAAUUUAGACUAUCACAACUGACAGUUCUAAAUUAGGCAAAUCCAGGCUUUCUUCCUCCUGUGCUGGUCCAUGGCUUGCUCAGCUUGCUUUCUCACAAGACCCAAGAUCAACUUCUGUGGGUAGCACUGCCCACCAUGACCUAAAUGUACCCUCUUUUAUCAGUCAUCCAUCGAAAAAAUGUCCCUCUUCCACAGACAUUCCUAAAAGAGUUCUGGUUGAAGAGAUUUCUCACUCAAAGUUCUCUCUUCCCAUAUACCUGUAGUUUAUAGAAAGUUGACUGAAAUUAACCAUUGAAACACAUACAUGCACGUGCACGCGCACAUGUGCGUACGCGCACGCGCGCGCACACACACACACACACACACACACACACACACACCUACCUCUUGCUCUAUUCUUGGUAUGUCUUCAGAAUUGGAGUAAAUCCACGGCUUCAGUUCUCCUUACUUUUUAGUAAGUUAGUCUGAGAUCUAGUGCCAGUUGUUCCCACUGCUGUCCAGGAAGUUCUAAUAGAAUAGUCUAAGCCAGAGGCCACUGUUUCUAUUAUGAUGACAGGCAGUGUGUACAAUGUGAAGCGUUCCAGGUAAGCUCUGCUGUAGAUCAGGAUUUUAAGUGAAGACCAAACCAUCAGUCAAUCACCCACUUCCCUGCCCAGCCCAAGCCUCUUUCCUCUAGGUUGUUUCCACGGAGAUUAUUCUUCCGAUCCUUCUUUCCAUUCCUGCUGGAGCAAUGUAAUUUUUACAACAUGCAAAAAUAACUUAUGCAUACACAUUUUUGCACAAUAGAUUACAAAUUGUGAAGGUAAUUUUACUGUCAAACUAUUUUUAGAACUUAUUUAUGGAAUUGCAGAGUAUUGAGACUACUGAAGUGAAAUUGCUGUUUAUUGCUUAACAAACUUCGUGUGGUUGUUUAUAAAAAGUGAAUAAAAUUCCCCUGUCCCUCUUUCUGGGUGCACUUUUGCCAUAAGCUACUCCAAACCCACCACUGCAUCUCCCUAAUUUCCCUUCAAUUUGAGCUUUGCCAAUUACCACACUUUGUCCAAUAUCACUUUAGCAAGAAUGACAAAGGCAAGUAUUUGUCAAAGUUGCCAUAUCUACUGCCCUGGUUUAAGAGAAGCUUGAAUUACUUUCCAGGAAGCAAAAAGGACAGCACAGAAGAGACCUGUCAUGUCAGUUAAGGGAACUAGACCAAAUACUAGUCACAUGAUAGUGGCUAAUAUAUACUAAGGUGACCUGUCCACUAAUAGAUAACUACACCUUACCCAAAGACGAAUGAGAAUUCAUAAUACAAUUGUUUUCAAACAGGACUUGGCAAUUUAUAGCUCAUGGAACAAAUCUUCGACAUCAGUUAUUUAAAUACUGCAGAAUCUGGGGAACACAGACUCAUUUUUUUUGUAUGUCAUGUAAACGAUUUAACAUUGCACAGAAGUGGUAAAGUUGAAUAAUCAAAGACUCUAUUGCCUGAAGAACCUAAAAACACACCAGCUUUCCUCUUGUGGGGGAAACUUUUGUGAACUCUUGCUUUGAGUCUAAGAGGUAGGAUAAUUUGUUGGACAGCAAUAAAUUACCCAGACAUUUGCCCAAAGGGAACAUGCCUCAUUUCUUAUUAAACCAAUAAAUUGCUAUGCUCACAGAAAACUACAUAUGCAUUUGCAGAGCCAAUAACCUUUUCAGUGGAUAAAGCUUUUUGUUCUGCUUGCAUUUCUAAAGUACAUUUAUGCAGACGGCUAGUUUUACACCAGUAUUUCCUCCUUAUUCACCAUAGUCAUGUGAGCAUGGCAUUGCUCUUUCAGAACUGUUUCCCAAACCCCACAUUUUAUGUUACCCCAUGUUUGCAUUUUCCUCUCUGAAGUAAAAAGGGAGGAGAUGCAGGAAUUUUGGGGCUUCUCUUUCCCUUUCCCCCUCUUCCAACUGACUGGAACCUGUAGUCACUUGAUUCACUAUCUCGAGUAGUCAAAUAUGCUGGAGAAGUAGGGUAAAAAUGCUAUCCAAAUAAUUUAAGUCAUCUUUUUCUCUUUCUAGAACUCCAUGGAACCCGAGUUCCCACAACUCAGAUACUCAUAUUGUUCACCAGAUUAGAGAGAAGUAAAGAUGAAUCUUCUCAUAUUUACCAAAUGAUUAUUGGAUAUCACGUUCUAGCAGGCUAGCCAUAUUCUAAGUAAGGUAACAGUCUUAUGCAUAAAGUUUUGGCCCCCAAAAUAUUUAGUUAAUAAAACAUUGGAUUGUUGGCUCCAAACUCUAAGUGACUUUGAUAAACUUUGUCCCAAUUUUGUUAGUUGGCCAGAGGCAAACCAUUUACAGUAACCAUGCUUUUCUCUUCCUAGAUAAAAAUAUACAACUCCAGAUAAGGGAAGCAGGAAUUUUGAACACUGACCUUUCUAAAUCCUGUUUCUCCCAAGUCAGAGGGCUGCAGUAACUGGCAAUUGCCCUAGGCAUGUGUCAUUUUACUUCCCAGAAAUGCUUGUGCACCAAUAUAGAGCCUUAGGUAAUACAAUAGGGACAUAAUGAAGGUGAGCCUUUGCCAUAUAGGCAGCUAAAAAGCACAUGCACUGAUUUGUUUUUUUUUUGUUUUUUUUUUUUUUGUUUUUUGGCAAUUAGCAGAAAAUUAGGGAAGAGAAUUUAGUCACACUGUGAAUCCAUAGUCACCGAUGGCAGCCUGUAUGGGUCAGUGAGGGCAACCUUUAUCUAUGCACACUUGAGCAUGAUCUCUAGGCCUCCAGAGAUCAUUUCUCUAAGACUAGUGGGAAGCCUAUCAACUCAUAGAUGAUACUAAUCUAUGCAGUUCUAAGAGUGACCUAUUCUUAGGAAACUUAGUCUUUACCAGACUUGACAUCCAGAUGUUAUGACUCCAUUACAGAAAUUCUGGAAAUCUAAAUGUUGCAAAUAAUUUCUGAAGCAAUAAACAAACAAAUAAAGAUAUUAGUUUCUAAAUGAAAUGUGUUUAUAAAUAUCCCUUCUCAGGGUAAUUUUAUUGAAAGUAAAGAAGAAUUCCCAAACACAGCUGUAAAAAUGGAAGCUGGCUGGUGGUACUAGGGAACCCGUUUAAAAAAUAAUUUCUAUUGGAUCUUGUAUCAAUUUUUCCUGUUAUGGACUAUCUCAAAAUUUGAUAAUUUGUGGAUAAGAACAAGUAGCACAUGAUCUCGGUUAUCUAAUUACCUGCUUUCCCUGUUGGACUCAAUGCUGUGUAAGGAAAGAAAAACGUUAGCUUUCUUACACACCAAAAAUAUUCCCAGAGCUUGUUAAGAUGUUAGGAACAUCCCAGUUUCUUAAGAAGUAUUUGCUGAAGACAUGGAUCUCUCAGUGAAAAAUAACUGAUGGGAUUUUACCAGCACUGGAACUGUGAGCAUGAGCAAUGAUAUGUCCCCUGCAAGAUGAGUUUUUAUGGAGCAGAUGAUGAGUUAAGCAGCAUGGAAAAAGAUGUGUUUUCAAAAGAUAGUGUUGGGCCAUGCCAUAAUGAAUCUUAGAGCCAGAAGUUACAUGAGAAAGAUGUAGAUUUUGGUAUAGGGCCAAGGACUGGCAAGGAAAAUCCAAUUCAGACCAAUCUCCCUAUAAUGAUAUAUAUAGGUUUGGAAAAGGAAAUCUGAAACCAUUUUGAUUUUCUAUCCCAUAAUAUAAUAAUAUAUAAUAUACUGCUAUUCUUCUAUGCUCUUAAAUCGUCUUUUAAACAGCUUUCAGGAUGUGUAUUUAUGAAAAAUAGAGCUGGUGUUCAAAUGCCCUCAUUAUCAGGGCAGUAAUCUUCCCAAGUACUAGACUCCAAAAUGGAAUACAUUAAAAACAGCCAACUUAAAAUAGAACUUAGUUCUUCAUGAUUAUGUUGAAAAUUUAAGUAAAAUAUGUUAUUAAGGAAUUGUUAUAUUCCAGAAGUGAGGAAAGGUAAAGCAAGGGCUAGACCACAACACACCAGAGGCUAGACCACAACACACCAGAGGCUAGACCACAACACACCAGAGGAUAGAUCACAACACAUCAGAGGCUAGAUCACCACACACCAGAGGCUAGACCACAACACACCAGAGGGAAAUGGGAGAAAACUGUCAUAUGUACUCUAUGUCACAGAGGGAAAAACCCAUGUCAUUCUGCAAUGUCAGAAUUCACUGAAAAACAAUAGAUUCACCCAGUUCAGUAGUUUCAGAUAUAGUAAUUUACAAGAUAAUUUCUCUAUCCUGGUAAUCUGGCUAAGGCAAAUGAGGUUCUUUUAUUUCUACCUUAGUUAUUAAUAUCAAAUGUCUUAUAAUGCAUCUUACAGCAAUGAAUCCGUAUGAGAGUAUAUCUAGAGGCAUGCAUGUGGCUUACCGAAUGAAUUUAAGGGAAAGAGGCAGCAUUGGAAACAUCCUAGAAGUAGGUUGAUGGGUAAUGUCAAUAGAGUCUGUAUGGGUAAGAUAACUGAGAACUCAGGUCAGUAUAAAAAAUAAUUCAGAUUGGUGCAAGGGCCUGCCGUCACAUUGCUAGAUGUCCAUAAUUUUAUGGGGUUCACGUGAGGGAAAUACAGCCUCUCCUUGUUCUAAUAAGCCAUAUGAGUUCUUGUGUCUAGUUUCCUUGCUUUUUUUUUUUUUUUUUUUUAAGAUGCCCAUGUACCCUCAAAGUCUCAAUUUAUCCCCAUAAACGUAAAAGUUGGCACCCUUUCUAUAACCUGGAUUAGGUCAUUUUUUCAGAGCUGGAUGGAUAGUGCCCAACGAAUAUGGUAACACCAGGGGCCAUAGCCACCCAUCUGUAAAAUGGAGCAAAAGGCUGUUUGUGAAAUAGAGAGCACAGCCUGAAAAACAGAACAAAACAAAACAAAACAAAACAAACAAACAAAAAACCAAACUUAAAUCUGAAGAAACAGCAGAGCAAAGCCUGAUCUCCACAAAAAUAAAAGGGGUGAAAGCCAACCUGCCUGGGAACGCCACUUAACCCCUCGCUCGCUGGAACUCAUUAGUAAAAUUAGGAUGAAAUAAUUUAUAAGGUUGCUAUUAACGUUAAAAUUUUUAUGAGUGGGGAGGUUUUAAAACAUGAUGUCUUCAGCAGAAAGUGCCACCGUUUUUCAAUAUUCUUUUUACACGUAAUGGAAGCAAGUUCAAAUAAUAGGUCUGAUGUUCACGAAGUCAUUAAAUAUUUACUGGUCACUGUCUUGAUGACCAUUUUGAUUCAUUACAUGGUAUAUAUAAAUCAUCGAUAUUUUCAAAUUAUAAACAGCUCAGGAAGGACUUUUGCAGCUCAUGCUGUGGCCUUUAACUAAAAUAUGAAUUACCUCCUUCUUUGUGGAGGUGUUUUAAAAAAAUAUCUCACUUAUUAAGGUCACUAAUAAUCAAAGCAAGCAGUAUGUAUGAUAAGUUUAUCAUGCUAAUUUUUCUCUUGGGUUGCAAACUGUCACCUGUGGAUCAUUUCUUUUUUUCUGGGAGGCCCUGUGUUUAUUUUUAAAGUAUUAAUUUCCAGUAACAACCAAACUCAAACAGAAAGUGAUGCUUUCUGUGUCAUGUGAUUUACCAAGAGUGAAAAUAGAAAUUUGUGUUAUUUCUCUUGAAUGGAAGAUAAUUAAAGAUAACAGAAGAUGUGGGUAGGACAACACUUAAUUAUAAAUGGUAUAAGGCCAUUUUAUGAUUCUAUACAUUCUUUUUACUUCUAUUUACUUCCUCCUACUCCUCUUUCUUUUUUUCUAAAGUGUCAUUUAUUUUUCUACCUACUGGGUUGCAACCUGCAUAUUUUGCAAUUUUCUUCAAAUCUUCCAGGAAUAUAUGUCUGUACUAGGUGUUAUGCAGCAGAGAAUCAUGCAAGAUAAGUCUUUCUUUCCAACACCCCCUUCCCAAAGUCAUUCUCAAACCCUCUCAGGGACCCUUGCCCACCCCUUAGAUCACCAGUGCCUACCCUAACUCAUCACCUCCUUUUCUUUCUUAUGCAAAUGAAUCUGCUCCUGCUUUCCACCUUGAGACUCAAGAUAACUCCUUAGAAGCUUUUUCCAAAUUCUGCCUUUACAUCCUGUUUUUGAACUGUGUCUGUUUUUGAAAUUCAGAAAAUGCGGCACAGUCAGAUAAUAAGUAAAUCUGUCAGGGUCCCCAAACUAAUACAUGAUGAAUGAAAGUCAGGGUCUGUUCAGAAGCUGCGAAUAAUGAUUCUGUUAUGUCUUACUGCAUGCAAGCAUUCAAAAUGCAGAUGGUCUGUGGAAGCUUGCUGGAUGUAGCACUAAAAUAAGUUGUGAAUUCUCCUUAAGUUCUCCAAAUUUACAAAUUUUAUUAGACCUCUGGUCAGAGACUAAACAAGAGUUUGCAGGGGUAGCAGUGAGGUUAUUUAUAGAUGCUACCAGGUAAUUCAAAGAAAACUAUUAAAUUGACAUCUAGUGAUGUUGGCUUUCCUAAGCACUGAGAACAUCUACCCCUAUAUGCACCAGAAGAGAAAAAUUACCUCUGCAGUGCUGAACACAGUUUACAGAAACCAUUAGCAUUCACAUUUACUGAAUUUAAAAUAAAGUUCCUAGUAUGCAUAAAACAACUUCAUUUGGUUGGUGAAAAUAGGUAAACUAGUUCUAAUGUAAUUUUUGAGACAACUCCAUACUGAUUUCACUGAAGAUGGGCUAAUUGCCCAUCUACAGUGAUUUUUUUAAUUUCUAAUUUAUGUGUAUAUACAUUUAUUAUUAUAUAUAAUUAUAUUGUAAUAUGUGAUGUAUAAUGUAUAGUAUAUGUUAUACGUAUAGAAAAUAUAUUGAAUUACAUUUAUGUUGAUAAUAAGUAUAAAAUUAUAUUGAUAAAAGUAUAAUAUAUAUAACAUAGGUAUGUGCAACUACAUGCCACAUGCUGUGGGUUCUUUUGGAAGACAAAAGAGGGACUCAGAUCCCCUGGAGUCACAUGGGGAUGUGAGCUGUCCAACAUUGUAUCCCUCCACUAGACAGGCAGCUAGGAGAACACUUCAUUUUCUGCCCUGGGAAGUAGCUUACAAAUAGAGUCCCUCCUAGAAGUAAAGGGAAGUUUACUUGGUUUAACUGUUUGUAGUUAUGUAAUAUCCAUUGUUUUGUAUGGCUGCUUUUACAAGAUACAGUAUCUUUAGUAAUUAUCCAUUGUAGUGAUUUGUAAAGUAAAGCCUUUGGGUCUAGCUUUAAGUAAAAGCCUUCAGCAAAGUCCCUGCUGUGUUGGGGUCAAUCAGUAGAGGCUGAAAAUUGUUUUGAGAUUGUGUAAACCUUGAAAAAAAAUGUUGUCUCCCUGGAAAGUCUGCUUUUGGUGCUACAUGAGAGCUUAGAGCUGCAUAGAUCUUGGUCCUAAGCCACUCCUGGAAAACUUGGGAGUUCUUAGAUUUGAUUAUGGCUAGCCAUAGUCAUAAGGUACUGAGAUCUGUAUGGGUUGUCUGGUCUUUCUGGCAGCAAGGGCCAGAUAACUUUGGCAGUUGCAAUCUUCCAGAGCUCCAGUUAAUUUUGUGUAGUGAUCGAACAAAAGUAACUGGAGUGAGCUAGUCAGGGCCAGUCUUUGUUCCAAGAAGGCUGAACCCCUCUGCUUCUUUGGAAAAUGAAAGUUUAGCACCUUGAUGAGCUUCUCUUUUUACUGAAACGCCUAAGGUUAACAUCAACCAAUAGUUCAUCUUAGUGAAGAUAACAAUAGCUCAAUUAUUUUUAGGAAUUUAGAACAUUAAGGUAUUUUAUAAUUGAUUGGCUCCUUCUACUAUCCAUACAAAUUUGCUCUCCCCAUGCUCAAUCCCCUCCACUCUUUUGGUUAAAAUGAAUACUGUCUUUGAGAUAAUACAUGCAUGUAUGCACACAUGAACUAAUUUCUACUGGCUAUAUACUGAAUGCAAUGGUGCAUGUGUUGCUUUAACCAGCCUUUCCAUCCAUUCUCUAAACGCUCUCACGAGUUUGUAUUCUAUUAGCACUGCGCUUGCGUCAACUACACUACAGCCCUACUAAUGCUGGAACUGUCUCUGCUGUCUCUACUCUGCUAGAAUAGAGACCUCCGUCCAUCUCUGACUUACAUUAAGUUGAUGAAUAAGGGAGGUGGAGGGAUUAAUCACAACCAUUGGACAUUUGGACAUACACAUUUGUCAACAGUCUAUUAAAGCCCAUUUCCCAAGUUUUCUACUGGACUAUAUUGCUUUCAUAUUGAUUUGAAAUGUUCUUCAUCUAGCCUAGAUGCAUUUGGAUACAAUUGAUCUAUAUAUAUAUAUAUAUAUUGGUCAUUUACUUGCAAAUUUUUUAUUUGAAUUCUAUGCUUUUAGUGACUAAAUAUUCUUUAUUUUAUUUUAUUCAUCAUUAUUGCAUAUUUCUGUGGUGGGUGUGUUCAUUUGUACAAGCCAGGUUACACAUGCACAGGUCAGAGGACAAUACUCAGGAGUAGAUUUUUUUGAUUGUGGAUCCCAAAGAUUGGAUUAAAGCUGUUAGACUUGUGCAGCAAAUACUAAUAUUCCACUGAGCUAUCUUCAUAGCUAAACACUUUUCACAUUAAUAGAGUAAAUCUUACUAACUGGACUGUAAUGCGGUUCAAUUAUUAUUUUUUCCUUAAUGUAAUGUUAAUGAUAUGUACUGAUUAAUAAAUCAUUGGCUCUUUCCAAAAUAGUUAAUUUUCUUCUUGAUAUUUACUGUUUUACAGCCUUGUUCUCCACUACUGGAAUUUUAAUUUUAUGUGUGUGUUUAUCUAAUGGAACAACUUCCUUGCAUCUCCAUAGCCUAGACCACCUCCCUAGUCAUGCAGCCAUAGGGAUGUAAGAAGUUAGUAGAGUUACAUUGGUUACACUGGUACAUUACAUUGUCAAAACAAUGCUCUUUUAAUGGUCAAUAUCGUGACAAUAACCACUAAAGAAAUCAUUCUUUAUUCUUCUAUAAGACUCUGUAAGAACAUUUAAAUUACCUUUAAGCAUGUAUUAUGGGUAGGGGGCAUUUGUAUUACAGUACCUACGAGGAGAUCACAGGAUAUCUUAUGGCAGUCAGUGUUCUCCUUAACCACAUGGAUCCUGAGAAACAAAUCAGUGUCCACAGCCAUGGUAACAAGAACCUCUGCCUACUGAGCUAGCUAUCCUGCUGACCAUACGCGCUUGACUAUUCUUAAAGCCCUGAAGUGAUGUACAAGAUAUCAAUGAACUGCUCGAUUUCCAAAUGAAGAUAUCACCUGCUCUCUGCAUACGUAAAAGGUCUUAUGAUUGUUUUUUGAGCUUUUUUAAUUUGUUCAUGUGACAAGGUUUCAUAUUCUUUUUUAUGUUAAUAUUGGCUAUUUGUAUUCUUUUCUUGCUAAAACCCUGUUAGAAUUCACAGUCAAAAACUAAUCCAUUUUAAUGCACUGCUCUUUUUAGUUUGCUAAUAUUUUGGUCAGUACACUUCUAUCUGUAUUCAUGACUGUAGCUCAUUUGUGAUUUUAAUUUUUUUCUGCAAUUUUGCCAUAUUUUACAAAAACUUCAACCAUUGAAUAGAAUUGUUUCUUCUAAUUAUUCUCAUCAUUUUCUGAUGGGAUUUGUGUAGAAUUGCUAUUUUUUGUUCUUAAGUACUUAGACAACUUUCCGGAUGGAUUCAGUUGAAAUAGUGUAUCUUUAUCAAAAAAAUAAAUUUAUUUACUCUUAAAGCAGAUAUGAAAUAUAUGUAUUUUGAAACUUUUUACAUUAUAUUUUUAAAUAGUUCAUUUUACUUUAAUUAUUAAAGAUAUUUAUAUAAAGUCAUUGAAUAUAUUUUUAUUUUUGCUCAUAAUUAACACUGAUAAUGAUAUGCUUCUUUUUGUGUUUUAUAUUUAUUAGCAUGUUAUAUUUCAUUUAUUUGAUCAGUGUUGUGGGUAAAUCAUUUAUUAUUCAAAAACAAAAAAGAAUUUUGUGAUUUAAAAAAUAUUUAUUUAUUUAUUUAUUUAUUUAUUUAUUUAUUUAUUAUAUGUAAGUACACUGUAGAGUGUAUUCAGACACUCCAGAAGAGAUCAUUAGAUUUUGUUAUGGAUGGUUGUGAGCCACCAUGUGGUUGCUGGGAUUGGAACUCAAGACCUUUGGAAGAGCAGUCGGCUCUCUUAACCACUGAGCCGGCUCACCAGCCCCAACUUUGUGCAUUUUUGAAUGAAUAUAUAAUGCAUGGGCUUUGUAUUUCACUUAUUAAUGACCUUUACUUUUUAGCUUCAUCUAUUUGUAUGAGUAUUCAGUAUGCUGUUUUUUCUGCUAGCAAAAUUCUUGGGAUGAAAGCUUAGACUUUGAUUAUCAACCUCAUUUUUCUCUAGUAUGAGAAUUUAAAACACUCUAAGGAACAUAACCUUAUUUUCAAUGCAAAAGUAUUUGUCUGUCCAGUGGCACUUUAUGCAUAGUCCAUGUAAGCUUCCCUUACUUUUCUGCUAGUUAUUGUAGAGAGAAUUGCUUAGUUUUCAGAAGUUGCAGAUUUUUAGCUAUUUGUCCUCUUAUUUUCUAAUUUAAAGCAGUAGUAGUUAGUAGCUUAGUCUCUAUUGUUAUUUGUAAUCUGUUACAAUUAAUUUUUGGUGUGGGUUCAUUGUACAUCUAAAGAUACUAUGCAUUCAAUCCUGAUUAUAUGCCAAAGUAUGCCAGUGGAUCAUUAGUGCUGUUGUUUAGAUCUUGCGUAUUAUUAUAGUUUUAUCAUGUUUUAUUCUAUCACCCCUAAAAAUAAUUAGUUGAAUUUUUUGUUAUAUCUUUGGAAUUGCUUAUCUUUCAUUGUUACCUUUUAUCUAGCAUUUAUCUGUAUCAUCUAUCUAUAUACUAUUGCUAAUCAUUCACCUGUGUAUCUAUUUAUUAUAUAUCUAUAUUUGCUAUUUAUACAUUCUCUCUAUAUAUACUAUAUAUAUUCUAUUUGCUAUUGAUUUAUUCCUCUACUAUCUAUCACUAUAGCAUAGAUGUGACAUUAUUGGAUAAAUAUAAUCUUUUAACUCUAUAUGCUAUCGUUGGCUUGAUCUUUUAUUAAUGUGAAAUAUACUUUGAUCUAUUAUUAAUGUGAAAUAUUGUUACAUACAGAGGCUGUUUUUAGUUUUAGAGCCCCGUUCUUUUUAUAACAAUCUAGUAACUAACUUCUUUUUCAAGAUGAUUAUGUGGAAUUUCCUUUCAUAUUUUUCUAUAUCACACACAUGUGCACUCAUGCAUACACAAACAUACACACUCGAUAAAUGAAUGUAAAAAGGAAGAGGUACAUGAGCAAAGGAAUGGUGUUUAUAAUAAACUAGAGAACAUUAGCAUCCUCCUUUCUUUUGAUUUUGUUACUGUAACAAAUUAACAAAUGAAUUCCUUUAUUGGCAGGUGCCUUUGAGUCCUGGCCCACGCGCAGUGCUCUGACUGACAUGGCUGGCUUCGUGUGUAAGCACAGGAUUACUUUUUUUCUCGUGGUUAUAUCACCCUUUCAUACAUAAUACCAAGGAUUAGCAUCUUCCUUUUUUAUUGACUUGCCUUUUCGGCAGUUUAUCUCUUUUAAUGAUCUUUUGGAGAGCUAGCAUUUAAAUUUAUCACUCAACUCUUCUGGUCUCGUUUAUAAAUUAUUGAUCUCCAAUUGUAUCUUUAUUAAGUCAUCCCUGCUCUUUCAUACUCCUUUAAAAGAAUUAUUCCCCCUUUUUUACUGGAAUGAUUAAUUAAUCUGUUUUGAGUCUUUUUUAUUUAACACGAAAAAUAUUAAAGCAUUAUAUUUUCUUCUGAGCACAGGUCUGGCAGAACCCUACUGGGCUUAUUUCUUCUAUGGAUGUAAUUUUGAUAUUUAACCUUGACAUGAGUUAGGGGUAUUUUUCCCAUUUUUUUUCUCUACUAAAACUCCCACUUUUGUCCCACAACUCCAAUAUUGCUACCCUCGUCUUAUAUGGUGAUAUAUAAAUAAUUUUAUUUAUUUACAUUUCAAGUGUUGUCCCCCUUCCCUGUCUCUCCUCUGCAAACCACCAUCCUGUGCCUCUUCCCUUUGCCUCUAAUAACCUGUUCCUGCACUCACCCAUCCACCCACUCCCACCUUACCCCUCCAGUAUUCCCCUUGGCUGGGGCAUCAAGCUCCACAGGGCCAAUUGCUUUCUCUCUCAUUGAAGUCAGAUAAGACAGUGCUCUGCUACAUAUAUAGUGGGAGCCAUGGACCUACACACAUAUAUUCUUUGUUUGGUGGUUUAGUUCUUGGGAGCUCUGAGGGGUCCUAUUAGUUGAUAUUGUUGUUUCUUCCUAUAAUGCUCUUAAACACUGAGCCAUCUCUCCAAACUUAUUGGUGGAAUAUAUUUUGACUGAGUGCCACAUCUCAGCUGCUUUUGUAACUGACUGUGGCCAUCUCAGUAAGUUGCAAGAAGAAAGCUGAAAGACAAGACUGAUAUAGGAAGGGUUGACUUCUGAAAGGAAGUGUGUGUAUCUUCCUCCUGAUUCUUAAAAUGCAGAUCCAGAGAAGAAAUGAGCUGGACCCUCCCCCAACACUCUGGACCCCAGAUAAAAGCAACAGCUUCUGGAAUGAGCAAGUGGACACUCUGGUCUCCAAGGAGCUAUUUUAUCUGCUUAGAAAAUAUAUAAAAUUAUUGUUGUAAGAGACAAAUUAUGUCUAUCUCUGUAGGGGCUAAUAUUCCAAGAUGACUCCACUUCAACACCUCAAUAAUGACAUGGCCAAUGCAGUUAAUAAUUACUAACCUCUUGAAAUGUUAUUAAUGAAUAUGAAAUAUGUAAAAUGUAUAUUUUAAUUAUAUAAAUGUAUAUUUCUAUAUUGAAUAUGCUAAGGUACUUAGUUGUCUAAGGAAUACUUAUUCUGUAUUUCCUAUUUUUAUGAGUUUGCUAUUACAUAGCCAUGAUCACACAAACACAUAUGCUGUUCAAUGCAAACCAUUAGUCAUGUUACUACCUUCUCUAGCAUGCUCUAUAUAACAGCAUCGCAUAGAGCACUGAUGCGGUUCCAACCAAAUGGAAAGGCUUCAUGGUCCCCUUAUUAUGUGCUCCUGUUUCUAUUGACAAAGCCGAUGGCCCAGGAAUGAAUCCCAUCUCUCCUUCACAAACUCUUUUAAUAUUAAACCAUAUCAUUUCAUCUGGCUGUUUUUCAGGUUCCAUGGCAGUGGAAAGAGGGAAACAAGAGUACGUAUCCCUCAGGAUUAAUAAUAGCCUUGUAAAAUCUUAAUCAUGCUUAGCUGAUCGGGGACAUGAUUUUACAUUGCACAUAAGAGGCAGUGAGAAGUCAUGGACUAUUGGCAUCUGCUUAAGGCUGACUGACCUGAACUUGCCCAAGUUUAUUUUACCCGAGAUGCUUUGCUGUAGCCAAAUGAGAGGAAAAUAAUGCUCUGUACAGUACUGAUUUGAAGGAGUUUGUUCUAUAUCACUGUGUUAUGCUAUACACCCCUCAACACAGAAUGCAUAAAUGCUAUUUAGGAGUCAUUUGAAGUUUUUGACAUGGAUAUACAUUCUAUGUGCACUUGUGUAUGUAUUUCUGACACUGAGGUUGGAGGAUGCCGUGUGUUGGCUUUGUCCUACUACCACGUAGCUACCAGCAUUCCAACUGGAUAAUCAGUUUGGUGACAAGCACCUUUACCUACUAAACCUUUCACCACAGCCUCUGGAUCUACUUCUAUGCUAAGUAAUAAAGUUGUGACUGAAGUUCUUCAACGUAUUGUUUUCCUCUGAUCCCGUUUGGUUCAAGUUUUUCCUGCACGUCACCAUCAAACAUUUUCUAGCAUUUAUGCAUUUUACCAUUCUUAGAUAAUUUGUUUCCUGACAUUUCCCCCUUCUCUUAAGUCAUUUUUCUUCUUGCAUCUGAACAGUGCUCUCUCACAUAGCUUCCAUUUUCUCUUUUACAGGGAACAGUGCUUCCUUGAACACUUUUGUGAAUAUCAAUUUCUUUCUAGCAUUUAUUUCUAGUUUCUAUAAUCUCUUGUUUUGUGAAGCACAGCUCCUGGCUAUCUCAGUCAGCUGCCAAAUCCACCUCAUGGUUUUGAUAGUUAUUUUGUAUGCUCAACAUUGGCAUUUAUUUUGUAUUUAAAAUAAUUAUUUGGUUUGAGUUUUCUGAGAAGAUUUUUUUUUUUGCUUUUGUCAUUUAUUUGGUUCAUUUGGUUGUUAUUUAUUUAUUUAUUUAUUUAUUUAUUUUUGAGUUAAGAGUUUUACUGUAUACCCCAGGAUAGCCCAGAUCUCAUUAUUCUCCAAUAUCAGUUUCAUGAUUGGAGGGAUAGCAUCUACAUGCCAGUAGAACAGGGUUGGUCUUAUUUAUUUUUACAUUAUUUCCCAGGACACUCCCACUAACCACACUCCCCAGUGUCAGUUUAGAUAGUAAGCACAAUCUCUUGUUCCAGCACAUCAUACAAUAGUAAUUUUAAGAACUUUCUCAAUGUAAUGCUGAUGAUCAGGUCCUUUAAUGUAUUCCUAAUAUAUUUAUCAAUUUCUGCCAAGUUUUGCCUCUUAUCCCUCGCUUUACUUGUGAGGGUAUGUUUUGUAUAACCAUGACAACAUUCUGGUACUCUCAAGUCAUACAAAUGCCUUUUUGUAUACUAUGAUUGAUCAGUUUCCAAACAUGUUCUGGAUGCCACAGCUGUCAAUCAGGAUGUAGUUGCAGAGCUGUUUCCUCUGAGAUCUACAUUCUAGGACCUCACUGCUCCAUUGGUUUUCAGUUGUUUUCUUAGGUCAGACCUGUCUACUUGGCUAUGGAGACUCCUAAGUGGUAAGUAAACAAAGCCAUAUUUAGGCCAAUUCCACCACAGUAGCUGGCAAACAGAAUAGCAAGUGAUUUUCCUCUAGAUACAACAGCCUUGAGGGGUAAUUUUUAAGCUGUUCAAAGAAAUAAAACUUAGAACUCCAACUCAUCAUGGAUAAAGAAAACCAAAACACUCCUAUAUCCAAUGUGAUGCCUGAUUAUGAGUUUCUUCAACUCUUCUACAUCUGAGAAUCUGUGAAGUAGCCCAAGAAUCCAUAUGGUGUAGUGGGAAGAACAAGAUAUUUAAAAGCAAACUCUAGUUUUCAAAUCCCAAUCAGAACACUCAGCUUAUCUGUCUUCACUUCCUCACUUCCAAAUGUACUGAAGCUAUAUCUUCCCCACCAAAGAUUUCUGGGAGUGUUAAUUAGUAACAAAAAACCUGAAGUUGUACACAAGGCAAGUGAAGUACCAUAGCAAAGCUUCCAUAGUUCCUCGCGACCAUUCAGAGAGCAAUGAAGUACUCAGAGUUUGUCCUGCCCACAAGAGGUACAGGGGUAAAACAGGGAGCAGGAUUUAAGGGAAGGACACGCCAACUGGCCCAGCUUGAUACCCAUGCCAUGAGAGGGAGCCCACCCCAACAUUAUUAAUGAUACUCUGCUAUACUUUCAGACAGGAGCCUAGCAUAACUGUCAUCAUAGAGGCUUCAUCCAGCAACUGAUGGAAACUGAUGCUGAGACCCACAGCCAGACAGGUUGAGUUUGAGGAAUCCUGUGGAAGAGAGGGAAGAAUUGAAGGAACCGGAUCAGCAACAAGAAAACCUGCAGAAUCUACUAACUUGGGAUCACAGGGGCUCAUAGCGACAGAACUGUCAUCCAGAGAGCAUGCAUGGAACAGAUCUAGGCCCUCUACACAUAUAUAACAGUUGUGAAGUGGGGUUGUCAUGUGGGACUCCUAAAGCAGAAGCCGGGGCUAUCUCUGACUACAUUCCCGGCCUUUGAAUCCCUUUCCCCUACCUGGGCUGCCUUUUCUAGCUUCAAUAGCAGAAGAUGAGCCCAGUCUAACUGCAACUUUAUAUGCUAAGGCUGGUUCAUAUUCAUGGGAGGGACUUCCCUUACUGAGGAGAAUGAGAAAAGGAGUGGAUGGAAUGGAAGGGGAAAUAAGAGAGAGGGACUUGGAGGAAAAGAAAAAGGGGAAACUGCAAGCAGGAUGCAAAGUAAAUAAAUAACUUAAUUAAUAAAAAUAACUAAUGGAAAAAAAGAAAGAAAAACCAAAGGCCUCCAAUCAAAAUUCCAAGCUUCUUCUUUAAUUAAUCAAAAAUCAUAAUUUAACCACAAAACAAGAAGAGGAGAAGAAAACUUUAAAAAUGACAAUAGAAACAUGUAGCACAGGAAAAGAGUAGAUGAAAACCAAAGAAACCAACAUUGACAUUUUGGUAAGAUUACUAGACUUGGGAAAAGCCUAUUGUCAAGUUGUCAAGCCUAUUGAGAAAAAAAUAGAGACACAGAUGGUGGCUGAUGUUAGAAAUUGAAAAGGGACAUCAGUGUGGAUACUGUAGAUAUUAGAACAGUCUAAAAAACUACAACUAAUGGUUGAUAAAUAAAUGGUGAACCAUACAAAUUCUUUCAAACAUGUAACAUGAGAGCUUAUUCAAAAAUAGAUUCACAUAACUGUGUGUCUAUAUAAGGCUUCAAUUUAUGCAUCACUUGUAAAGCCUUCCAAAUAUCCAAGGCAGAAAUACCAAUUCUAUAUAAACUCUUCCAGAACAUGGAAGAAGCAAGAAAUGGUUUCAACCCAAUGUUUUAGCCCAGCUCAUUCGACUGGUGUUGUUCAGAUAUUCACAUCAAACAAUGAAAUGAAAUGAAAGAAGAUUUCAGAAGGCAGGGCAGCCUAGAUCACUGGUACAUGCCUUCAGUCUCGGGGACUCAGAAGACAUGAGGAUCUCCUCAGCCUAAAUGUUCAAUGCCAGUCUGAGAACUAGAGCAGAGCCUCAAAGAGAGGAGGCAGAAGGUAGAAGACAGCAAUGGAAGAUUCAAACCCUCAGGCAAUAGCAGUCAUAAAUAAAGAAGUAAAAAUAUCUAAACAAAUGACAGUAGAUGCCAAUGGCUGCAUUUAUUUUGCCUGUAUGAAAAUGGUUUUGCUUAUACAAUAUUGUAUUUCAUUUCUGACCACAUCUUCCAGUUCUUGCUUUCUAUUCAUUCUGCUCUUCCUGACUCUUAACUGUUUCUCUUUGUGUGUGUUUGUGAAUGAAAUGAAUUUGUGUAUUAUUGCUAUGUGUGUGUAUGUGCCUGUGUAUGGUUUGAAUGUGAGUUGUGCAUGCCAAGGUACAUGUGUGUACAUCAAAGGACAGCUUUAUGGGGCCAUAUUUCUCUUUCCACCUUUUUGUCAGUUCUAGUGAUUAGACUCAGUGCCGGACUCAGCAUGCCCAGCACACCUUUACCUUCUGGGAAUCUCGCUGGCCUCAUUGUCUGGAUUAUGACAGCAACUCUGCCACUUGCCUUCAGACUUUGCUUGUGUAUGGCCCAUGUACCUCCAUCAAAGUCUCCUUCCUCAAAUGCACUAUUGUGUAAGUCUAUGGGAUUGAUCAUAGAGAGGCUUAAAAAUUCCCAAAACACACACACACACACACACACACACACACACAUACAGAGAGAGAGAGAGAACCUUAAUUUAUAUUUUCUUCUAUCAUUAUACAUGUUCUGCACCCAGGAAUAUUCCAUAAUCAUAUUCUAACUAACACUAGAGACAUAAUUAUACAUAUAUAUUUGCUUGAAAUCUAAAUAUUAUGCUUCUACACUAAUUUUUAUUCCCUCUCCUUCACAUUUUGUGCUAUGUGGUUCUGUCAAAGUUUAUUCUAGGUUUAUUUAAUUUUAUUUGCAUGACUGUUUUGUCACAGUGUAGUUAAGUAGAUUUACUGAUAUAUUAGAAUAAAGCCUAAUGCAUCUGCUCCUCUUCGGUACGUGAGCUUCGCUUGGCAGCCCCUGAGCUUCUGUCCUUGUUUCUACUAGCAUCUUCAAAACUGACAUUAAGCACGGAUAUUAAAAUGAAAUAAAUGUCUGACACACGCACAAAUUUCAUUCUAGAGUUUCUUUUUCCAGUGUGUGUUGGACAAAGAAUCCUGGUCUUUUCACACUGCUGCUGAGCACGCAACUACUCCAAAUGCCUCCUUACCCAUAUCUCUUCAUUUCUGAUCAACUUCCCCUGCUCCCACUCCAGCCUGGCUGUCGCUGUUUCUCCUGGAAGGUAGAAGACCUUCCUAGUGUGUUCAGCCACAAAACUGAUUUUAAUAUUUAAAAUAUUCUUUCAUUUUAUAGAGUCACAACUAGGAACACUGAGACUGUAGUUACUCAAGAGAAAUAUUCAUUUUUCACAUCUUUGGUAAAGCACACACAACAGUAAUGCAAAUAUAUGCUCACCAUAUAUGCAGGAAUAACUUGUUUUAGCAUAAUUUCUUAGGCUGCCUAGAAACGUCGUAGCUUUAUUUAGAGUAGAAUUACAAUAGGAAAUGCUUCACUAAACAUUCCAUUUAAUAUUUAAGCAAUUUCACUAUUUUAUAUGUGUGUUAAUCAGUGCAUAUAUAUACACAUGCAUGUAUAUAUAUAUAUAUAUAUGUAUGCAUGUAUAAGCACAUGUGCAUGUGUGUGCUCAUAUAAAAGUUAGAAAUCAAUAGCAGAUGUUUUUCUGAGAAAGCAUCUCUCAGUAACCUGCAAUUCAUCAAUUCAGCUAGAUUUACCAUUCUUCUUUCCUUUAUUUUCAGAUUUAUAAUUUAAAAUAUUUUUAAAGAGACAUUCUAAAAAGAUCUAAUUAUUUCAAAUACGAUCGGUCACCUCCAUUACCUUCUGAAAAAUCAGAUUUUUAAAAUAUAUACCAAAACUAGUGAUGUUGAUUCAAAAAUGUCAAUUUUUUUCUUCAUAAAACAACCAAUAAGAAUUCAUCUCUAUAUUUUCUCACUAUGGUUGAUAUGUAAGAAAAAUAAGAACCAUAAUUUUCAUUAAGUUUAAAUGAGCAACCAGCCUAAGAGAUUCAUAAUUAAAGGACAUAUUUGCACUUUGAAUUAAUUUUUAAACAUUUCCUAAGUGCUGUGUGAAGAGCAUUAUGCAGGAGGAGAUGAGCAUUUCCUUUACCAAAGACACCAACAAAAUCGUUUUUAAUUUUAAAGAAAAUGCCUUCCUGGGAAAAAUGUAAUCAAUAAUUUGUCUUUCAUCCUCAGAACAAUUAAGUCAUUCCUGUUUCCAAAUACUCACUUGGAGAUUUUCCAACGUUCCUACAUCUCCAUUGUAUUAGGAAGAAUGUUUCUAGCUCACUAAUUUUGCUGCUAAUCAAACACUUAAAAGAGAUUCUUUAUACUUUCAGAUACGCUUUGAAAAAAAAAUCCUCCCAUCAUAUGCACAAGGGAAUUAUAAGUUCAUUAGUAUACAGUUUUUCACAUCUUAGAUUCAUGGUUCAUUAUGUUACCUUAGAGAUAAAAAUACAAUUUUACACUUAUAUGAAAGUAAAAAUAAUUAGAAUUAACAUCUGAUUAUGAGUUUUAAUUUUGAAAUUAAUCUACAGACAUCUCUAAUUUAAAUAUUUCAAAUCAAAAGCUACCUUUAAUAUUUUACUGCAAACAAUACUUAAAGACUAAAUUGUAUCCAUUUAGAGUAAUGCUUUUGAAAAAACAUGAAGCACUUUAGCAUUUUAAAAGAACUUCCAUAUUUUGUACUAUUGAUGCUAAAAAAGACAAACCUAAAAUAUGUAGACAUUCUGUGUCUUAGGAACACCAUAGUUAUAUGUUUUGGUUUCCUUAUUAAGUUAGAGUUUGUGGCUACAUGUUUCAGUCAGAAAUGGAUCGCGAGCAACGCAAUGACAUUUAUACUGUGAGAAAUCAUAGGACCAACUAAUAAUUCCAUUCUGGUCACAGGAAAAAAAACACCAUGGAAUCCUGCACUUAAAAAUGCAGGAAUCAUAUAGAGACACCAAAGCCCAUAAAACUUUACCUGUUCAUAAAGACUCUUGCCAAUUUCUGCAAACCGGGACAUACAGCGUAUCUAGGUAAUCUGAGACAAGACUCUUGCCAAUUUCUGCAAACCUGGACAUACAGCGUAUCUAGGUAAUCUGAGACAAGACUCUUGCCAAUUUCUGCAAACCUGGACAUACAGCGUAUCUAGGUAAUCUGAGACUGAAUUUUUUUCCUAGGUAACACUCAGCUCACUGGCAAGCUCUCAUAGCUCAUGUGGAAAUUAUCUUUUGGAAGUUCAAAAUUCAUUUGCCUACAAAAAUAAUUAAUAUAUUUAACUUUCCAUGCCAUCUUGUGUAACCAAAUAUAUAGCUCAAAAUGAUGCAUAAGACAUAAAUUCUGAAGCUUUCAGUGUAUAUAUAUAUAUCUCCAAACCUGGGGGCCAAACAUACACUAUCCCUUUCCCAUAUAACCGUUUUAAUUUCCUUGCAAGCUCUAUAGGGUUGGGAACAUAGUAGGUGCUUUAUCUCAUUAUUUUUCAAAACUAAACCAACACUCAAAAAUGUACUGGUUUAAAAUAGCAUCUUCUUAAUUUGAUUGCAGUGUUGUGGUUUGGGCUGGGCUCAGUCUCAGAUUCUGCUUGUUGUUUUCUUUUGUUUUUUUGUUUUUUGUUUUUUGUUUUUUUUUGAGGAUCCUUUUAUGGGUAAAUUCAGUUAUGUCAGAGAUGGACAGAAGAGAGGUUGAGAGGUCAAGCCAACCCUCUAGUCCAUGUAGUCACUGAGUUCUAUUCUCUUUGCUGUUUCUCAUGUGGAAUCUUUCAAGGUGAAGCCAGAUCUCUGACUUGGAGAUUACAGGCUCCUAUGAGAGUGUAUGUGUAGGCUCCCUCUGCCCCCACGUCUGAGGGCUGCUACCCUGUUGCUCUGACAUAUCCUUUUGACACCCACCUCAGUUCUUCAAUCAAGAUCUGAAGGGGGGUUACCAGGAAACUUGUUCACUCUGGGCCACCAAUGGAGCACUCUGUCCCAGGGUGAGUUGGCUGGCUGCCCCAAACCCAGAUGAAUAGGUGCUAAUCUCCUAAUUGCUCGUGCAGGAAAUGAAGCUGGAAGUUUCAUAGUAGGCAAAAGCCAUGAAAGUGUGAAUUAAAUAUUUUUGAGUACACUGGGGAUAUGACUUGAUCAUUUACUCAUUUAUCUGUCUUUGAUUUUUGUUUUGUUUUGUUUUGUUUUGUUUUGUUUUGUUUGUUUUGUUUUGAGACAGUGUCAUAUAUUGUCGCCCAGGAUCUCCUCGAAUUUGCUAUGUCAUCCAAUCUGGCCCCAAAUUGAAAAUUCUUCUUUCUGCCUCACCUUCCUAAGUACUGGGGAUAGAGGCGUGAGUUACCAUGCCUAGCUAAAGUUAGUCUUAAUCUAUAAUUCUUACCAAGGAGAGUUUAACUGAGAUGUUUCACUUCUUGGUGUCAACUCCAGAUGUGUAAUAUUGUAUUGCUUUAUAAAGUAGUACCCCAUACACUUUGAGUAAAUGCACAAAGUACCGGUUUCAACUUCAAAAUUUAUUUUAUUAUUUUUGUGGCUUGAGAUAGAUGUUAAUGAACCUUAAAUAGAAACACACACACACACACACACACACACACACACACACACACACACACACUUGAAGCAUAUCAAACUAGGAGCUGAAAAGGUUAAUAUGUAAUGAUAGUACAAUUACUUGUCAUGUUUUUUUCACAUUGUAAAUAUUAGACUUAAUAGGUUAUAAUAACUAUUAACUUCAGAGUAAAGUGAAAUUCAAAUUGCCCCAAAAGUGAUAUUUCUUCCAGCAUUACCUAUAUAUUAGCAAAAACGUAUUGCUUAGAAUUUAUUGGUUGUGAAGAGCAGGUGUUGACUCUGAUAGCCUGCAUAGUGUUGGACACUUAGAGUAAAAGCAGGCAAACAUCAAUAAAAGACUCUCAGAGUGAGGUUGGUUAUAAAGAGAGUGUAACACAGAGAUACCCUAGAUAUUGAAGAUUUGGGGCAAUGUUGGGGAAGAGAAUUGAGGACCAGUCUUCUUGAAGCAGCUAUUUAACUGAUAUGAACUUCAUUGACUUUCAUCAGUUAUAAAUUUCAUGCUCUCUCUUGCCAUUUUAUACUUUCUAAUCUCCAUUUAUACAAAUGUCUGAAUAUAAUUUCAUAUCAGUCAGGGGCAUUUAAAAUGAGACAUUUCUUAACUGUGUGCAAGUUUCCCACACAGUGCAUGAUAUUGAUUGGUCCUCAGACCAUAAAUGCUUAGAUCCUAUAAAGUCAUUUUGACAACUUAAAGCUCUCUUGUGUGUGGCUUUUCCCACUGAGGAAAUAACUACACAAAGGAAUAUAUGCCUUUUCUUGCACGUGUUGCUAAUAUCCACUUAACAGUGAUGAACUUCACACAUAUAUAUGUAUGCAUUAUAUAUAGUAUGAAUUCAUACUUUAUGUACUUAUUUAACUUUACAAAAUUAAAGAGAUCCUCAUUUUAACAAGUUUUCCCAGCUGUGUUUCUAGUGAUUUCCAAAGGUAAUUGAGAACUCAGUUCUAUAGAAGCAUAUCUAAGUCACACUCAUAGAAAGAUCACAUUUUGACCAUUGGCAGACAUGCUGAUCUAAACCUCAGUGAGUCUUUUAGUCACUGCAGGCUGAUUAGAUGAGGGUAGUAAAAGACAGGCAAUUACAAGUCUUGACCAGAAUAAGGGCAGUUUGAAAUCUCUCUCUCUCUCACACACACACACACACACACACACACACACACACACACACACAUUACUACCAGAAAUAUAAAACAUACAGAUGUUAUUGAAAGCAGUUUGGAAUUUUCUCAAAAGUUAAACUUGGAGACAAAAUAUGACAUGGCAAUUCCACAUCUAGCGAUAUGCUCAAGAGACAACAAAAUACAAGUUCAUGUAAGAUGUGCACUUGAAUAUUGAGAGCACUGUUAUCAUUAUUAGUUAAAGUUAAAGGAUUAAUAUUGGUUUGUGUUGAUUGAUGCAUGUUUCAACAUGGAUAUAUGUUGAAACACUGUGUUAAUAUAAAGAACCCAAAUAUGAAAGGGUGAUAUGGUAUGUAAUUCAGUUUAUAUGCAAUAUUUAGAUAUACAGACAAAACAUAGAUUAGAUGAUCUCAUGGCUAAAGACAAGCAAAUGUGAAAGAACUCUGGUAGAAACAGGGCUUCACUUGGGAAUGCAAAAGCUGCUCUGAAAUCUUUAAGGAUGCUUGUACUAUAUUAUAAAUGUGGUCCAAACACUGAAAGAUACAUGUACAAGGGUGAAUUAGGAUAUAAAAAUUGCAUCUUAACAACGAUCUUUUUAAAAUCACAAAGUCAUAACCAAUUAAAUGCAUGUGCGUUCAUUGAAGUGUAAUGUAUAAUUAUCUCAAACAAAAAAAAUGACCAAAAUACCUCUAAGAAAUGAAAGGUUAAUUAAACUGUCACAUAUCUUUUCAAUGGGAUACUAUGUGGUGAUAAAAAUAACUUAUUAAGAUAUAUAAAAUGUACAUAUUAACAAAUGAAAGAAGUCAUACUGAUAGGCUGCACACUGUAUAUGAUUUUAUUUAUACGACAUUAUGUGAGACAUAACCAUCAGAAUUACUAAAUAAGCCAUGAUUGAUAUUUCCAAGAGAAACCAUAUUUGAAUAAAUAAUUUUAAAUGUUA